rnacentral:rRNA from 1 species
UACGUAGGGUGCGAGCGUUGUCCGGAAUUACUGGGCGUAAAGAGCUCGUAGGUGGUUUGUCGCGUUGUUCGUGAAAACCGGGGGCUUAACCCUCGGCGUGCGGGCGAUACGGGCAGACUGGAGUACUGCAGGGGAGACUGGAAUUCCUGGUGUAGCGGUGGAAUGCGCAGAUAUCAGGAGGAACACCGGUGGCGAAGGCGGGUCUCUGGGCAGUAACUGACGCUGAGGAGCGAAAGCGUGGGGAGCGAUCCGG